AGUGUGUGCCUGGCCAGGAGCCCAAUGUUGAUCACACUCUUUGUAAUGAGUGUCCACCAGGCUUCUAUUCCACUGUGUGCACUAUUCAGUGUCUGCAGUGUCCAGCAGGAAGUUACUGUCCAGAUAGUGGGAUGUCACAGCCGCUCACCUGUCCUCCUGGCUGGUCUUCUACAGCUGGACAGACUUACUGUCGUAGCUGUAAUGAUACAUCGUUAUUGUGUGAGGGAGUCGUGGUCCCCCGCUGGAGCCCUUCAGUGCACAGAUCUAGUCAACCAAUCACCUGUCGACCAGGAACGUACAAAGACGUGAAAGAAGAUUCAGCUUGUGUGGUCUGUCCAAUAGGUCAUUACUGUGUGGGAGGUGUGGCUUUACCUUGUCCUGCUGGGACUUAUGGUCCUAAAGAAGGUCUGCAGAGACUGAGAGACUGCACAAUUUGUCCUGCAGG